GAAGGGGGCUAGCGUUGUUCGGAAUUACUGGGCGUAAAGCGCGCGUAGGCGGGUUCUUAAGUCAGGGGUGAAAUCCCGAGGCUCAACCUCGGAACUGCCUUUGAUACUGAGAGCCUAGAGUCCGGGAGAGGUGAGUGGAACUCCUAGUGUAGAGGUGAAAUUCGUAGAUAUUAGGAAGAACACCAGUGGCGAAGGCGGCUCACUGGCCCAGUACUGACGCUGAGGCGCGAAAGCGUGGGGAGCAAACAGGAUUAGAUACCCUGGUAGUCCACGCCGUAAACGAUGGAUGCCCAGCUGUCGGGCAGUAUACUGUUCGGUGGCGCAGUUAACGCAUUAAGCAUCCCCGCCUGGGGAGUACGGCCGCAAGAUUA
rnacentral:rRNA from 1 species